rnacentral:rRNA from 1 species
GAACGAUGAAGCCUUUCGGGGUGGAUUAGUGGCGAACGGGUGAGUAACACGUGGGCAAUCUGCCCUUCACUCUGGGACAAGCCCUGGAAACGGGGUCUAAUACCGGAUGAUACUUCCACUCGCAUGGGUGGGGGUUGAAAGCUCCGGCGGUGAAGGAUGAGCCCGCGGCCUAUCAGCUUGUUGGUGAGGUAGAAGCUCACCAAGGCGACGACGGGUAGCCGGCCUGAGAGGGCGACCGGCCACACUGGGACUGAGACACGGCCCAGACUCCUACGGGAGGCAGCAGUGGGGAAUAUUGCACAAUGGGCGAAAGCCUGAUGCAGCGACGCCGCGUGAGGGAUGACGGCCUUCGGGUUGUAAACCUCUUUCAGCAGGGAAGAAGCGAAAGUGACGGUACCUGCAGAAGAAGCGCCGGCUAACUACGUGCCAGCAGCCGCGGUAAUACGUAGGGCGCAAGCGUUGUCCGGAAUUAUUGGGCGUAAAGAGCUCGUAGGCGGUCUGUCGCGUCGGAUGUGAAAGCCCGGGGCUUAACCCCGGGUCUGCAUUCGAUACGGGCAGACUAGAGUGUGGUAGGGGAGAUCGGAAUUCCUGGUGUAGCGGUGAAAUGCGCAGAUAUCAGGAGGAACACCGGUGGCGAAGGCGGAUCUCUGGGCCAUUACUGACGCUGAGGAGCGAAAGCGUGGGGAGCGAACAGGAUUAGAUACCCUGGUAGUCCACGCCGUAAACGGUGGGAACUAGGUGUUGGCGACAUUCCACGUCGUCGGUGCCGCAGCUAACGCAU